GGUCAAUGAUGAGAUGUAAAAGGUCUGACGUUCGGGUCUCUCUUCAGUCCGUCUGUCCCUCCCAGCAGUCCCUGAUAAUUUCCCAGCAUGCUCUAGUUGUGCAUUACUGGUUUAAGGGGUCAGCUGAUAUUUUUGGAUGUUUUUGCUGAAUAAAGAGUCUUUUAGAGAAUGAAGAUCUCAACAGCAGCGUCCGACAUCAUCACAGCACACAGGAGGGCAAGACUGAUGAAGAAACAUAAACCGACACAUGAUCUCAAGUUUUCAAGCUGAGACC